UUUGAAGUGUGGACGCCAGUCUGCAUGGAGCCGACCUUGAAAUACCACCCUUUAAUGUUUGAUGUUCUAACGUUGACCCGUGAUCCGGGUUGCGGACAGUGUCUGGUGGGUAGUUUGACUGGGGCGGUCUCCUCCUAAAGAGUAACGGAGGAGCACGAAGGUUGGCUAAUCCUGGUCGGACAUCAGGAGGUUAGUGCAAUGGCAUAAGCCAGCUUGACUGCGAGCGUGACGGCGCGAGCAGGUGCGAAAGCAGGUCAUAGUGAUCCGGUGGUUCUGAAUGGAAGGGCCAUCGCUCAACGGAUAAAAGGUACUCCGGGGAUAACAGGCUGAUACCGCCCAAGAGUUCAUAUCGACGGCGGUGUUUGGCACCUCGAUGUCGGCUCAUCACAUCCUGGGGCUGAAGUAGGUCCCAAGGGUAUGGCUGUUCGCCAUUUAAAGUGGUACGCGAGCUGGGUUUAGAACGUCGUGAGACAGUUCGGUCCCUAUCUGCCGUGGGCGCUGGAGAAUUGAGGGGGGCUGCUCCUAGUACGAGAGGACCGGAGUGGACGCAUCACUGGUGUUCGGAUUGUCAUGCCAAUGGCACUGCCCGGUAGCUAAAUGCGGAAGAGAUAAGUGCUGAAAGCAUCUAAGCACGAAACUUGCCCCGAGAUGAGUUCUCCCUGACUCCUUGAGAGUCCUGAAGGAACGUUGAAGACGACGACGUUGAUAGGCCGGGUGUGUAAGCGCAGCGAUGCGUUGAGCUAACCGGUACUAAUGAACCGUGAGGCUUAACCUU
rnacentral:rRNA from 1 species